rnacentral:rRNA from 1 species
GAGUUUGAUCCUGGCUCAGGAUGAACGCUGGCGGCGUGCCUAAUACAUGCAAGUCGAGCGAACGGACGAGAAGCUUGCUUCUCUGAUGUUAGCGGCGGACGGGUGAGUAACACGUGGAUAACCUACCUAUAAGACUGGGAUAACUUCGGGAAACCGGAGCUAAUACCGGAUGAUAUUUUGAACCGCAUGGUUCAAAAGUGAAAGUACGGUCUUGCUGUCACUUAUAGAUGGAUCCGCGCUGCAUUAGCUAGUUGGUAAGGUAACGGC